GAUGAACGCUGGCGGCGUGCCUAAUACAUGCAAGUCGAGCGAACAGAUAAGGAGCUUGCUCCUUUGACGUUAGCGGCGGACGGGUGAGUUACACGUGGAUAACCUACCUAUAAGACUGGUAUAACUUCGGGAAACCGGCGCUAAUACCGGAUAACAUAUUGAACCGCAUGGUUCAAUAGUGAAAGGCGGCUUUGCUGUCACUUAUAGAUGGAUCCGCGCCGUAUUAGCUAGUUGGUAAGGUAACGGCUUACCAAGGCAACGAUACGUAGCCGACCUGAGAGGGUGAUAGGCCACACGGGAACUGAGACACGGUCCAGACUCCUAAGGGAGGCAGCAGUAGGGAAUCUUACGCAAUGGGCGAAAGCCUGACGGAGCAACGCCGCGUGAGUGAUGAAGGUCUUCGGAUCGGAAAACUCUGUUAUCAGGGAAGAACAAAUGUGUAAGUAACUGUGCACAUCUUGACGGUACCUGAUCAGAAAGCCACGGCUAACUACGUG
rnacentral:rRNA from 1 species